GCAUAAUUGAGUCAAAAUGAGGAAUGACAGCUGAUUCAGCUGGAACCAUGAACCCACACAUUCCUAGCAAUGCAGCUGCACACAACGAACGCAGCAAGCUUGAUUUGCCCCCACCAUUUGGACCUGUUAAAAGAAACAUGGACUGCAUAUCUACUGUAUUCUGUACACCAGUCCCUCGUGCUGCAUCAAACCAAUAAGGAGAUAGACCAAUUAUCUUCAUUCCAUCAGUUCCAUUAAGUGCCUCUGUGUCCUGACAUUUGUUAAAUUGUGUGAUUGUUGGGAAAAUCCAAUUUCUUCUUCUUCCUUCACUCACAUGAGAAAAUAAUGAUUUUGCUAUCACAUUCAAGACAGAUGCAAAGAUAAGGAUAUUGAUCU
rnacentral:misc_RNA from 1 species